rnacentral:rRNA from 1 species
CCUACGGGAGGCUGCAGUGGGGAAUAUUGGACAAUGGGUGAAAGCCUGAUCCAGCCAUGCCGCGUGUGUGAAGAAGGCCUUCGGGUUGUAAAGCACUUUCAGUGGGGAAGAAAGCCUUGGGGCUAAUACCCUCGAGGAAGGACAUCACCCACAGAAGAAGCACCGGCUAACUCCGUGCCAGCAGCCGCGGUAAUACGGAGGGUGCGAGCGUUAAUCGGAAUUACUGGGCGUAAAGCGCGCGUAGGCGGUCUGAUAAGCCGGUUGUGAAAGCCCCGGGCUCAACCUGGGAACGGCAUCCGGAACUGUCAGGCUAGAGUGCAGGAGAGGAAGGUAGAAUUCCCGGUGUAGCGGUGAAAUGCGUAGAGAUCGGGAGGAAUACCAGUGGCGAAGGCGGCCUUCUGGACUGACACUGACGCUGAGGUGCGAAAGCGUGGGUAGCAAACAGGAUUAGAUACCCUUGUAGUC